GUCUUGAGCUUGCUGGGCAAGGGCUCUAACUCUUGAGCAACACCCCCAGCCCUCCUACUAGUUAUUAAAUAUUUUCAAGAAGGUGAAUCCUUGUUUAAAGUUUACAUCUUUUAGAUUCCACCCCCCCCUUUCUGUAUAAUGACUUUUUGGAGUUUAAUUUGUGAACUCUGAAUUGCAUUAAAUCCUGAAAGUUUAACAUGCAGGAUGCUCACAUUUGGACUGGAUUCCCCUAAAAUUUCAGUCACUCUUUUGUAUUCUUAGUACAUUCAAAAUAUAGUCCCAGUAAAACUAUACGUUUAGUGUUGUGCUACUGCAAAAAUAAAAGCAGGCGGUAAAUGUAGGCAUUGCUGAACAAUAAGCAUUUGAAUGCUUUUGAUAUUAGUGACAAGGAAGUUUACUUAUGGGUUGUUUCUCUUCCGGCUUUUCUGAUUCCAUCUCUUGGUGAUUUUCACAUCAGCGCUCUGAAUUUGAAUGUAACUAAAACUAUCUGCAGCUGUGUCCUAUAGUGCAGCGCUCAAUCUUGAUAGAGUCCGUAGGAAUCACUUGGGACGAUUGUUUAAAAACAUACCAAUUCAGUAGUAAAUGCACCUUGAUUAUUCUGCAUUUCUAAGGUGCAGCUGGACAAGACACUGUCCUGCAGUACCAGGGAUGUAGAUAACUUCUGUGCGAAGAAAUAAAAGUUUCUGUAAGUGAACAUGUUCCUUUUAGCAGUCCAGCCUGGCUGGAGAGGUGGAUUGGUAGAAGGGUCAAGUGACAGUGUACUGAGAAAGCUUGCGUAGGGAACUACCUUAUGGAGAGGGAGCCAAGUGUAGAUGCCAGGGAAGGGAAUAGGAGUGUAAAUACCUUGUCUAUGUGCUGUGUGGUGCCUUACAUCCACUGAUCUGUGAUUUUCUUUUUUCCUGUAGCAGUUUGGUGUACUUCUGGUUCAAAGGCUUGCUCAGCUGUUAAGCAGUUGAGUUUUAUCAACAUAGUGUGUCUCUGAAUGUAGUGCUGAGAUGAAAGUUUGUUGUCGAGGCAGAAAAAUUCAGUGUCUGCUUUCUCUCCCAAAUGCAGCCGCAGUUGCUGAGUGCAUUCCCAAGUCUUUGAAGCAAAUUUUUAAACAAUUGAGAGUUACACUUACUGUGGGUUUCCUACCUGGAUUCAUAUUUUUUCUAAUGUAAUUUUUAUAAUGUAAAUUAAAGAGUAUAAAGCAUCACAUAUAACUCAAUUUUUACAAAAUGUACUUAACUUUUUUAAUGUGCUGGGGAUCGAACUCAGGGCCUCGUGUGUGCUAAGUAAUGAACUUUUUAAGAACUUUAUGGAAGUAUGAAAACAACUAGCUUCAGUCCCAUACAUUUUAUAGUUGUCAUUUUAGUCAUUAUUUUGUUUCUUCUGUUAUUAAAUUAUAUGUACAACAGUACUUUUGAAGCAAUUCUUUUAAUCCUCACAACAACUAUUAAGUCACAUGUCUGGAGUUUCUACAACUUACGGAGAGCUGAAAUUCUGACUGGCUAACUUUAGAGUCUUUGCUAUUAACAAUCUUUCUAUAGCUGCUUUUUAAAUUAUUAUUUAAAAAGUGAAUUAAUGAUCUUCUCCAGUUCAUUUUUCUUAGCGUUGUUGAGAACUAGGAGUUUUACUUUCAUUUUAUUUUUUAGUUAAAAAUUUUUUGUUGGCAUGGGGUUUUGAACUCACAGCUUUGUGCUUGCUAGGUAGGCACUCUACCAAAUUUCUUUGAUCUCUGGAGAUAAAGAUAAAGGAUGUAGUUUAUAAUUUUGUAUGUACUUAUAUUCAUCAUAGUGCCUUUAUUUUUGACUAGACAGCUCAGAAUAGGGGUUGGCGUGAUACUCCUUAAAUACUCAUUAAUUUGAUAAAACAUCUACAGAUAAUAUUCAGUCACUGUUCAAUGCUGCUUGUGAGUUCCGUGACUGACUCCAUAAAAAUGUUGAGUAGUUGAAGAUUUAUCAGAUUUCUUAACUCAGUUGCCUAAAAAAUGUAGCUGUUGGAUUACUAUUUUGAAACAAAAUAGUCUUAAAAGAUUUGAAUAGGUGUUAACAGAUGUUUCAUAAAUUUUUGUUAAGACAAGAAUGCUUGCUUUACUACUUUGCUGGUUAUGAAGCCUACAUUUAGAAGAAUGAUUGAUGUUUAAAAAUGAGUUGGGUUUAAUUUUGUGUGAUAACUUAGGGCAGAGUAGCUGUGGUAAACAGUCUUACCGUGGAUGCAUUUAUUAGGUCCAAUAAUCACAGAAUGAUAGUUUAGCUUGUCUUUAGGAAAAAAUGGUUUUUCUGUUACAAAAAGUAAUGCCUGUUGUGAAAAUUUCAUAAAAACAAAUAAACAAUUAUAGUAAUGACGUUUCUGUUAAUGAUGGACUACAUCUAUGAUGGUGGUCCCAUAAGAUUAUAAUGGAGGUGAAAAACUAUCCACUAGUAAUGUGGUACCUGCUGUAGUGCAAAACAGUACUUAAAUGUUUGUGGUGAUGCUGCAAACCUGUUGCACUGCUAGUUAUAUAAUACAUAGCACCUACAUUAUGUGAAGUUCAAAAUACUUGGUGAUAGUGCUUGCGUAUAUAUUUAGUAUACUUUUUGUUACUAUUUUAGAGUGAACGAUUUACAUAAAAAAGUUUAGUGUAAAAUAAUAUGCUUUGUUACUUCCGCAGAAGCUUCAUAUAUCUGUGUUUGGCAUUUCUCUCUCUCUCUCUCUCUCUCUCUCUCUCUUUCUCUGAAUGAUGCAAGGGAUUAAACCCAGGGCCUUGCACAUGCUUGGCAAGUGCUCUGCCACUGAGUUACACCCCCAGACCCAAAUGUGUCAUGAUAUAUCAAGAGACCACAUUGAGUGAUUUACCUAUAGUGUAUUUAUGAUGUUUGCACAAUACAGUUGUUUAAUGGCACAUUUUUCAGAAUAUACCUAGCACUGUUGUUAGCUGUACAUGAUUGUACCUGGUACCUGCACUGUUGAAUUCCUUAAAAUUCUCCUCAGAGCUAUCUUGCCUUGGGAGAUGCUGGAACACAAAUGAUGGUUUUGUACUUCAAGUUUAAAGCCUUGGUUAGCAAGAGUGUUUCAUCUCCUAGAGUUACUAAGAUUUUUGUUCUUAAGUUUAAGAUAAAAAGUUGAACCAAAAGUAAUUGGACCCCCAUUUUUAAAUAGAGAAUAAUUAAAUGAAUAAGAGGUAAACGCCUACUUGAUAUGACCACCUAGUGUUACAUGAACUGGCAGGGAACAGCCCCCACCUUCUGAUGGAGUUGGGGUGAUACAAUGCUUCAAGAAGGCAAAGCCCAAGGUUCUGAUUGCAGGAAUGUACUUUCUGUUUGCAGGUAACCAGUGGGGAUUAGAAUAGGGUUUCCCAGGACAAGGUAUCUUUGAAGGUGUUCCAGAAAUUCCAGAGAAGCUACUAACCUUACACCUCUUGUGGGAUGAGAUAGAUGCCCCUGAAUCCCUGGUGAAGCAGAUGUCUUGGCCUGCAGUGACUCCAAAUCCUAUAAUCCUUCCAAUUUUCUCCUUUACUAAAUAAGUUUCAAAAAAGUGACAUUUUUAUUGUAAGUGAUUGACUUAAUUCAGGCAAAUAUUGCAGCUGAGCAAAGACUUCAUCCCAAUGAGGAAUAUUUUGCUCAGUUAAUGCUGAGUCCCAUGUUACUGUGUGAUCUGCUGAGUUUUUUCCUGCUCUUAAUUUUGUGAAAAUCUGCCCCCCAAAAGGCAAAUGGUACCAAAACAAGGACUAGGAAGAGGAGUGAGUCACAGACCUCUCUAGAAGGAGGAAUGGAAUGCUAAUCAUGAUCUACUAUUCUCUGCAGUGUUGGAAGAAUGCUUUGCUUGCCUGGAGUCAGGUGACUAUUUUGUUACUGAAGUAUGGUGGAACUCAGUAAUUUUAUGGAAUGUAAGAAAAAUUUCCUGUAUUUCCUAAUGUAACUUCUAAUAUUGAAGAGUGACAAAUUUGCAGUGUAACAUUUAAGUUUAGUAAAUAUUUCUUUUAAAGUACCCAAACCCUGCAUUUGAAUA